UACAGAGGGUGCAAGCGUUAAUCGGAGUUACUGGGCGUAAAGCGCACGUAGGCGGCUCUUUAAGUCGGAGGUGAAAUCCUGGAGCUCAACUCCAGAACUGCCUUCGAUACUGAAGAGCUCGAGUCCGGGAGAGGUGAGUGGAACUGCGAGUGUAGAGGUGAAAUUCGUAGAUAUUCGCAAGAACACCAGUGGCGAAGGCGGCUCACUGGCCCGGUACUGACGCUGAGGUGCGAAAGCGUG
rnacentral:rRNA from 1 species